AAAUGUGGUUCCUUUAUGAAUAUUAUUACUUUUCAUUCGAACUUUUUUAAUAUUUCUGUUUAAAAAAAUGGACUGCAUGGUCUGCAUCACCUUGUAUAAGUAAAUGAAAUAAUAUGUAAUACCUAAUUAAUAAUAAUAUUAAAUAAUGAUUCAAGUAUACAAAAUAUGGCUAAUAGUGUAAUAAAUAAAACAGCCCUGACUAGAAAAAUCUUUAGGAAAUUUUAAUUUGCCAUCGUUGAAUAGAUGUAAGCUCUUGAAAUUCGCUGGACACUUCACCUCGACGAUGGCAUUUUCGUUUUUUAUUGUUUCAUUUGGACUUGCAACUAAGAAUCCAUACAUCCUACGGAUGAAUAGAGCUCAAGAGUUUGCUGGCAAGUUAUAUUUACUUUCAAAUUUUUUUAAUGCAAGCCAUUCAUAGUCUUGGCCAUGUUUAGUGUUAUUAUUUCUAGCAAAUUUCGAGUACAAGAUUGAUUUAACUUUAUUUAAGCAAGACGUGUCAUUUCUCAUCCUACAUACAUCACCAAAUCUCGAUGCAGUUAGGCACAGAUACCUUUCUUGGAUCCAUAUCUGAUUGGUACUUUAGCUUCUGUUGAAUGGAUUAUUCUCCACCAUCAGUAUUUGGUUCUGCAUCAUUUGUAUUAUUUAUCUUAUGGUAUCGCUUCAAAUAAUGUAUCGUUUUAAUUUUUACUGUGAUGGUUUAUUCUUUUUAAAUAAGUCCUUUUUAUGUGUGCCACAGUUUAUACAAUAAAAUUAAUAAAAUUUAACUUACCUUUCGGAAUGAAUACAUUUUUCAAUUAAAUCUCGGACUAUAAAAUAUGAAAUUUUAGAUUUUAUAAAAAUUUAUAUCGUAAAUUAUUACCGUCUAUUACUCCUUUUUCGAGAACAUCUUCAAAUGCUAAGGGGUAGUUUUUUAGAUGAACAUACUUACCCAUUGUUUAUAAAAACUUUACACAAACUAAAUUAAACUAACACUAUAGUACACAAUAAAAUAACAACUAUUGACUAUAAAUUCAAAAAUUUUGUUAAAUUACACAAUCAUUAGUAGAAAAUCACGGAAAAUAAAGUUCAAAACGUA